rnacentral:rRNA from 1 species
CAGCCGCCGCGGUAAUACAGAGGGUGCGAGCGUUAAUCGGAUUUACUGGGCGUAAAGCGUGCGUAGGCGGCUUCUUAAGUCGGAUGUGAAAUCCCUGAGCUUAACUUAGGAAUUGCAUUCGAUACUGGGAAGCUAGAGUAUGGGAGAGGAUGGUAGAAUUCCAGGUGUAGCGGUGAAAUGCGUAGAGAUCUGGAGGAAUACCGAUGGCGAAGGCAGCCAUCUGGCCUAAUACUGACGCUGAGGUACGAAAGCAUGGGGAGCAAACAUGAUUAGAUACCCCCGUAGUCCCUGUCUCUUAUAC